rnacentral:rRNA from 1 species
UACGAAGGGGGCUAGCGUUGUUCGGAUUUACUGGGCGUAAAGCGCACGUAGGCGGAUCGAUCAGUCAGGGGUGAAAUCCCAGAGCUCAACUCUGGAACUGCCUUUGAUACUGUCGAUCUGGAGUAUGGAAGAGGUGAGUGGAAUUCCGAGUGUAGAGGUGAAAUUCGUAGAUAUCGGGAAGAACACCGUAGGCGAAGGCGCGUUGCUGGUCGUGCUCAACGUACGCUGAGGCGCGAAAAGCGUGGGGGAGCAAAACAG